ACAGCACAAUGGAGCCUGCCCCACCCCUCACCCCACCCCACCCCAAGUGGCAAAUGUGUGGGAUGAGGCAUGAAGAUAUGCCACCGUCACUUUCGUUGUCCUGGGCAGGAUUGUUUGUUGGAGGUUCCAUCAACCCCCUCCAUCCUCUUCCCCCCUCUCCUCGUCGGGGAGCCUGCCCCACCCGCCACCCCACCCCUACUUCACAGCACAACUGAUCAGGUGAGCUAACUUCUCACCUGAUCAGUUGUGCUGUCUUCUGCCCGAUCUGCUCCACCCCAAACCCACCAGACCCCACCCCAGCCCAGCCCCAUAUCUACUUCACAGCUGAUCAGAAAACCUUCCAAGGUGUCCGAAUCGAAGUAUUUAUUUCAUAACCUGCAGGUUCCAUCAACCCCCCUCCAUACUCUCCCCGGGGGGGGACAGCACAACGGAGCCAGCCCCACCCCUCACCCCACCCCACCCCACCCCAAGUGGCAAAUGUGUGGGAUGAGGCAUGAAGGUAUUCCACCGUCACUUUCGUUGUCCUGGGCAGGAUUGUUUG